rnacentral:rRNA from 1 species
AGUGAACGCUGGCGGUAGGCCUAACACAUGCAAGUCGAACGGCAGCACAGUAAGAGCUUGCUCUUACGGGUGGCGAGUGGCGGACGGGUGAGGAAUACAUCGGAAUCUACUUUUUCGUGGGGGAUAACGUAGGGAAACUUACGCUAAUACCGCAUACGACCUACGGGUGAAAGCAGGGGAUCUUCGGACCUUGCGCGAUUGAAUGAGCCGAUGUCGGACUAGCUAGUUGGCGGGGUAAAGGCCCACCAAGGCGACGAUCCGUAGCUGGUCUGAGAGGAUGAUCAGCCACACUGGAGCUGAGACACGGUCCAGACUCCUACGGGAGGCAGCAGUGGGGAAUAUUGGACAAUGGGCGCAAGCCUGAUCCAGCCAUACCGCGUGGGUGAAGAAGGCCUUCGGGUUGUAAAGCCCUUUUGUUGGGAAAGAAAAGCAGCAGGUUAAUACCCCGCUGUUCUGACGGUACCCAAAGAAUAAGCACCGGCUAACUUCGUG